ensembl:lncRNA
GGGGAGGAGAAGAGGGGAGGAGAGGAGGAGAGGAGAGGAGGAUUCCAAAGCCUCGUUACACCUUUCGGCUUUUUAUAGCAGCUUUGAGGGUCAGAACGGCUUUUCAGACACUAACGACCAACUGCAGAGCGGUGGGGGAGAAUAUAGAACCCUCUGGUGUUCCCUUCUGUGAGUUUGACUUGAGCCUUUGUGUCUCAUUGAGCCCGAGAGAGACACAGAAAUGCACACACACACUCACACGCCUACAGACUGAGCUCUAUUAGUUUUUGAUCCUGCAGGCAAAGAGAGAGCUUGUUAGGCUCCUCUCUGUCUCUCAGUCUCCAGCUAGAUGAGCUGUGUACUCAUUAUCUGUGUGUGUGUGUGUGUGUGUGUGUGUGUAUGUGUGUGUGUGUGUGUGUGUGAACGUGUGUACAUGCGUGUGUGGUGUGUGUGUGUACGUGCAUGUGCAUGUGUGUGGUGUACGUGUGUUUGUGUGUGUGUGUGUGUGCGUGUGUGGUGUACGUGUGUUUGUGUGUGUGUGUGUGUGUGUGUGUGUGUGUGUGUGCCUGUGUGUGUGCCUGAAUGUUAACUAGAGAACAGCUACUUGGGUGAUCAACAGUAUGUUGUUUUUAUGAGCAGAAUUCCACAGGAAGGUGGUUUUUAUGAGUGGUUUAUUACAUUAUUAUUAUUGACAGAAACACCUGAUAAUACAGUUCAAUACUUGAUGAGUUAUUUUAAGACGAGAGACGAGUUUCUGUGAAGACGGAUGUUGGUAAAUAUGAUACAAAAAUGACGUAUUGGAGGCUAGAGAAGUUCACUCUUCAUCAUUUUUGACUUGCACGGUCUCCAUUUUAGUCUCAGCUGUGCUGCUGGUCGAAAAAGGUUCACAAUAACAAGUUAAACAAAGCAUUUUGUUCAGAUUAAAGGUGAGGGGGGAGAGGAGGGGGGAGAGAUGAUAUAAGAGAGGAGAGAGAGAUAAUAAUAGAGGAUAGAGAGAGAUAAUAGUAGAGGAUAGAGAGAGAUAAUAGUAGAGGAUAGAGAGAGAUAAUAGUAGAGGAUAGAGAGUGAUAAUAGAAGAGGGGAUAGAGAGCGAUAAUAGAAGCGAGGAGGAGAGAUAAUUGUAGAGGAGAGAGAGAGAAGAGAGGAAAGAGAGAACAGAAGAGAGGAGAGAUAAUUGUAGAGGAGAGAGAGAGAUAAGAGAGGAGAGGAGGAGAGAAUUGUAGAGGAGAGAGAGAGAUAAGAUAGGAGCGAGAUAAGAUAGGAGAGAGAGAUAACAGAGGAGAGGAGGAUAGGUAAUUGUAGAGGAGAGAGAGAGAGAUUAGAGAGGAGAGAGAGAUAACAGAGGAGAGAGUGAUAACAAAGGAGAGAUAAUUGUAGAGGAGAGAGAUACGUGAGGAGAGAGAGAUAUCAGAGGUGAGGAGGAGAGAUAAUUGUAGAGGAGAGAGAGAGAUAAGAGAUGAGAGAGAGAACAGAAGAGAGGAGGAGAGAUACUUGUAGAGGUGAGAGAGAGAUAAGAGAGGAGAGGAUGAGGGAUAAUUGUAGAGGAGAGAGAGAGAUAAGAGAUGAGAGAGAGAACAGAAGAGAGGAGGAGAGAUAAUUGUAGAGGAGAGAGAGAGAUACGGGAGGAGAGAGAGAUACAGAGGAGAGAGAGAUAGCAGAGGUGAGGAGGAGAGAUAAAUGUAGAGGAGAGAGAGAUAAGAGAUGAGAGAGAGAACAGAAGAGAGGAGGAGAGAUAAUUGUAGAGGUGAGAGAGAUAAGAGAGGAGAGGAGGAGAGAUCAUUGUAGAGAAGAGAGAGAUAAGAGAUGAGAGAGAGAACAGAAGAGAGGAGGAGAGAUAAUUGUAGAGGUGAGAGAGAGAUAAGAGAGAAGAGGAGGAGAGAUAAUUGUAGAGGAGAGAGAGAGAUAAGAGAUGAGAGAGAACAGAGGAGAGGAGGAGAGAUAAUUGUAGAGGAGAGAGAGAUAACAGAGGAGAGAGCGAUAACAUAGAGAGGGGGAGAGAUAAUUGUAGAGGAGAGAGAGAGAUAACAGAGGAGAGAGAGAUAACAGAGAGGAGAGAUAAUUGUAGAGGAGAGCGAUAAGAGAGGAGAGAGAUAGCAGAGGUGAGGAGGAGAGAUAAUUGUAGAGGAGAGAGAUAAGAGAUGAGAGAGAGAACAGAAGAGAGGAGGAGAGAUAAUUGUAGAGGAGAGAGAGAGAUAAGAGAUGAGAGAGAGAACAGAAGAGAGGAGGAGAGAUAAUUGUAGAGGAGAGAGAGAGACAACAGAGGAGAGAGAGAUAACAGAGGAGAGGAGGAGAGAUAGUUGUAGAGGAGAUAGAGAUAAGAGAGGAGAGAGAGAUUACAUAGAGAGGGGAGAGAUAAUUGUAGAGGAGAGAGAGAGAUAAGAGAGGAGAGAGAGAUAACAGAGGAAAAUGAGAGAUACUUUUAGAGGUGAGAGAGAGAUAAGAGAGGAGAGGAGGAGAGAAUACCUUACUGGUCGUUUACUGUGCUCCUCCCAUAUCAACAUGUCCUGUAGUUUACUGUGCUCCUCCCAUAUCAACAGGUCCUGUAGUUUACUGUGCUCCUCCCAUAUCAACAGGUCCAGUGGUCUCAAGCCUACAGUAGACAGAGGGUGAUGAUUUCGAUGCAAGGUGAUCGAUAAAUUAUAAUACGAUUUUUGAGAGCUUGGAACAUGAUUGAAUAUAUUUUCUGUCCUGUUUUUGUUUGUAUCUCACGUUGAAUUCACUCUGACAUUCUUUAUUUAGAAAACAUUAUAGAAUUGUUUUUAUCCCCCCUGUGUAAGAAAUUAAUAUCCACUUAUUUUUUUAAAUUAAUUCAUAACUUAAUUUGACAUUACAUAUAAGAGAUUCAGAUGAGUUAAGAUAUUCCUUUCCUGUAUAAGCCACGUUCCCUGUAACAGAUCCCUGUAGAGAUGUCAAAUCAACCUAGACCUAAACCUUCUCCAGACAGAUGGCACUCUGUCAAAUCAACCUAGACCUAAACCUUCUCCAGACAGAUGGCACUCUGUCAAAUCAACCUAGACCUAAACCUUCUCCAGAGAGAUGGCAGUCUGUCAAAUCAACCUAGACCUAAACCUUCUCCAGACAGAUGGCACUCUGUCAAAUCAACCUAGACCUAAACCUUCUCCAGAGAGAUGGCAGUCUGUCAAAUCAACCUAGACCUAAACCUUCUCCAGAGAGAUGGCAGUCUCCAUAUUAGGCAACAGAGUUUGUAUGUCUAUGUCAUCCGUCUCUCCGUUUUCCAGAGACCUUGUGAAACACACAGCGUACUCAUAUCAGUAGGACAAUGACUGUCUGAGCAGCUACCAGUAGAGCCCCUCAUCAACCACCGCUAGAGGAGUAUAACCAGGACUGGCCCCUCCCGCACCUCACAGGCAGAACAUGUUAUUGGACCCCCUCUUGGUUGGGGGCCCCCUACCGGCCUCGGGCCCUUCAGCAUCUGCUUAUAUCUCUUAUUGUCUUGCAGGACAGAGUGUUCUUUUUUUGCUGGUGACCAAAGGGGAGUGUACAAACAUGGACUUAAUCAGAAACCGUCAAGAGAAAAACUGGAAAGACUAUAAGAUACAGAAACCUGUUUUUUUGUACAGAGAUAUAUUUUAUAUAUUUUUAUGGAAAUACAUUUGUAAUAUGAAAAGAGGAGAAAUGGAUUGACAUGUGACAUCUCUCUCUCUCUCUCUCUCUGUCUCUCUCUCUCUCUCUCUCUCUCUCUCUCUCUCUCUCUCUCUCUCUCUCUCUCUGUCUCUCUCUGUCUCUCUCUCUCUCUGUCUCUCUCUCUCUCUCUCUCUCUCUCUCUGUCUCUCUGUCUCUCUGUCUCUCUCUCUCUCUCUCUCUCUCUCUCUCUCUCUCUCUCUGUCUCUCUGUCUCUCUGUCUCUCUCUCUCUGUCUCUCUGUCUCUCUGUCUCUCU